AGCCAUGUGGUGAGCACAGAGCGAACUAUUCUUUCGCCUUUUACUAAAGAAUACCGUGUGCUCGCCACGCUCAAUGGCAUACGCCUAUUUUUGGAGGGGCUUCUUCAACUGAGGAGGCU